ensembl:snoRNA
GGAUUUGGAUUUAUGGUAGGCCUAUCCCCCUAUACCUCUAAUAGUGUCCAUUCCAGAGCAAGCUGGCCCAGAACUACUUUUCACCUCUGCCCUUAGACUGAUGGCACUGAGCUAGGUAAAAAAAUA